rnacentral:tRNA from 1 species
GGCGCUGUGGCUUAGUUGGUUAAAGCGCCUGUCUAGUAAACAGGAGAUCCUGAGUUCGUAUCUUAGCAGCGCCU